GUCUAAAAAGCUAGCCUGAUCAAUUAAAUUAACUAACAUUAUUAAUAUAUUAAUAAGUUUAUUAAAAAUAAAGACAAACCAUUUUGCAACCUUAGUACAGGUGAUGAAAAAGGAUAAAAGAGCUACACAAAAAGUACCGCAAGGGAAAGCUGAAAAAAAGAUGAAAUAGACUACUUAAGAUUAGUAAAGCAGAGUUUAAUACUCGUACCUUUUGCAUCAUGAUUUAGCAAGAAGUCAAUAAGCACAAAGAAAUUUUAGUUUAAAGCCCCGAAACCGAGCGAGCUACCUCGGGACCGCUUAAUAGAGCCAACCCGUCCCUGUGGCAAAAGGGUGGGAUGAUCCCCAGGUAGAGGUGAUAAACCUACCGAGCAAGGUGAUAGCUGGUUUUCUGAGAAAUGAAUAGAAGUUCAGCCUUUCUUUUUUUAUAAUUAAAACAGAUAAUUCAAGUAAAAAUAAAUAAAAAUUUUAGGAGUUAUUCUAUAGAGGUACAGCUCUAUAGAAAAAAGAUACAACUUUUUGAAGGAUAAAGAUUAUAAGACUAAUAAAGUUCACGAGUGGGCCUAAAAGCAGCCAACUCAUAAGAAAGCGUUAAAGCUCAAGAACACAAGUUAACAGAUUAUGACAAAAAAAUCAAAUGCCUCUUAACAUAUCAGAGCUUUCUAUAUAAAUAUAGUAAAGAUAAUGCUAAUAUGAGUAAUAAGGGGGAAUAGACUCCCUCGAGUGCACUAGUGUAUAUCAGAUUUGACUGACUACUGAUAAUUAACGUCCCCCCGAAUAGAGGGAACUGGUUUAUUAAUCAUAACCAAGUAAACCACCCAAAGUAAAACGUUGCCCCCACACAGGUGUGCCUCUCGAAAGACAAAAAGAGUAAGAAGGAACUCGGCAAACACAGACCUCGCCUGUUUACCAAAAACAUCGCCUCUUGAUAGAAUUGUAUAAGAGGUCCCGCCUGCCCUGUGACAAAAGUUUAACGGCCGCGGUAUUUUGACCGUGCAAAGGUAGCGUAAUAACUUGUCUUUUAAAUGAAGACCUGUAUGAAUGGCAUAACGAGGGUCAACCUGUCUCCUUACUCCAGUCAAUGAAAUUGAUUUUCCCGUGCAGAAGCGGGGAUAACUCCGUAAGACGAGAAGACCCUAUGGAGCUUUAAAACGCUAGGACACACCAAGUUAAAAUAACCUUGUUAAGGGUCACAAACAAAAUGGAUCUGCCCAAGUGUUUUUGGUUGGGGCGACCACGGAGUAUAGCUUAACCCCCGUAUGGAAUUAAAACUUAAUUUUAAAUUCAGAGCCGCCGCUCGGAAAGACAGAAAAUCUGACCACACAGAUCCGGCAAAGCCGAUCCACGGACCUAGUUACCCUAGGGAUAACAGCGCAAUCCCUCCCUAGAGCCCCUAUCGACGGAGGAGUUUACGACCUCGAUGUUGGAUCAGGACAUCCUAUUGGUGCAGCCGCUAUUAAGGGUUC
rnacentral:rRNA from 1 species